rnacentral:lncRNA from 1 species
CACACACACACACACACACACACACACAUACAUUCACACCCCAUCCCACGGCUAGGGCUGAGAAGGGACCCAGACUCCAUUAAAUCAAAAGAAUGCCAAUUAACCUAUCAUGAUUAGGGUCCCGUUAGCAAGGAAAAAGGGAAAGACUGUCAGUGACCCUGGAAGCCAUUUCAUGUGACUUCCGUCCAAAGACAUGAGAAAUGGCUAGAAGGAAGGGGCCACUGAAAAUCUCUAGGAAAAGAGAAACAACAGCAGUAACUAGCAACCUCUUUUCAUGAGUACCAAUAAAGUAAGACCUGAGCUGCUUCCUGGCCCCGUGGAAAUUCAGCAGGACUAUGGAAGUGAGAAUGAGGGAGAGGAG